UUCCUCUCCUUCCCUCCUUUCUCCUCUCUAUCUCCCUCUGGUUCUGGUCAUGAGAGUCAGGCAGGAGGCUGGUGACGUGGCCGAUGCCCUUGGUCACGCCCUCCCUGAAGAGCAGCUUGGCGCCCAUGCGGAGGUACUCGGGGUGUUUAAUGAAGCGGAAGCAGACCACAGCCCUCUCUCCUGUGCGCAGCUCCUCCUGGUGGUGAACACAGGGAAGGGCACACAAAACGGCACUCCACGGUAGCCGUCUGUCUUACGUUCCCCACGUGCAGUCACUUGGAAGCCCCGACGGAAUGUUUUGGCGUGGAUGAGAAGGACGAUGGCCGCCUCAAACUGCCAGCAGAUGGUGGGGUUCAUCUUCGGGCUGACCAUCACCAUACCCUAUUCAACACACACACACGCACCAAUAAGUACUUUGGGAGAUGGGAAAGGAACCAUUGUGGGACUGGUUUUAUAACAGUAGAAAACAUUUUGACUGCAUAUGAUUUGUGAGUUGUUUGUGCAUGUUUAGUUUAAGUCGGAAGUAUACAUACACUUAGGUUGGAGUCAUUAAACGUGUUUUUCAACCACUCCACUAA